GUGGGGAAUAUUGGACAAUGGGCGCAAGCCUGAUCCAGCCAUGCCGCGUGAGUGAUGAAGGCCUUAGGGUUGUAAAGCUCUUUUGUCCGGGAAGAUAAUGACUGUACCGGAAGAAUAAGCCCCGGCUAACUUCGUGCCAGCAGCCGCGGUAAUACGAAGGGGGCUAGCGUUGUUCGGAAUCACUGGGCGUAAAGCGCACGUAGUCGGACCAUUAAGUCAGGGGUGAAAGCCUGGAGCUCAACUCCAGAACUGCCUUUGAUACUGAUGGUCUCGAGUAUGGAAGAGGUUGGUGGAACUGCGAGUGUAGAGGUGAAAUUCGUAGAUAUUCGCAAGAACACCGGUGGCGAAGGCGGCCAACUGGUCCAUUACUGACGCUGAGGUGCGAAAGCGUGGGGAGCAAACAGGAUUAGAUACCCGGGUAGUCC
rnacentral:rRNA from 1 species